GACGAACGCUGGCGGCGUGCUUAACACAUGCAAGUCGAACGGAAAGGCCCUGCUCUUGUGGGGUGCUCGAGUGGCGAACGGGUGAGUAACACGUGAGUAACCUGCCCUUGACUUUGGGAUAACUUCAGGAAACUGGGGCUAAUACCGGAUAGGAGCUCCUGCUGCAUGGUGGGGGUUGGAAAGUUUCGGCGGUUGGGGAUGGACUCGCGGCUUAUCAGCUUGUUGGUGGGGGAGUGGCAUACCAAGGCUUUGACGGGUAGCCGGCCUGAGAGGGUGACCGGCCACCUUGGGACUGCGAUACGGCCCAGACUCCUACCUGACGCAGCAGUGGGGAGUCUUGCACAAUAGGCGGACGCCUGAUGCAGCAACCCCGCGUGCGUGAUGCCGUCCUUCGGGUUAUAAACCUCUUUCGCCUGUGCCGAAGCGUGAGUGACGGUACUGGGUAAAGAAGCCCCGGCUAACUACGUG
rnacentral:rRNA from 1 species